rnacentral:misc_RNA from 1 species
GAAAUGCGAUAAGUAAUGUGAAUUGCAGAAUUCAGUGAAUCAUCGAAUCUUUGAACGCACCUUGCGCUCCUUGGUAUUCCUUGGAGCAUGCCUGUUUGAGCAUCAUGAAAUCUUCAAAGUAAAUCUUUUGUUAACUCAAUUGGUUUCUACUUUGGUAUUGGAGGUCUUUGCAGCUCCACACCUGCUCCUCUUUGUUCAUUAGCUGGAUCUCAGUGUUAUGCUUGGUUCCACUCGGCGUGAUAAGUUAUCUAUCGCUGAGGACACUGUAAAAGGUGGCCAAGGUAAAUGCAGAUGAACCGCUUCUAAUAGUCCAUUGACUUGGACAAUACUUUUAUGAUCUGAUCUCAAAUCAGGUAGGACUACCCGCUGAACUUAAGC